rnacentral:misc_RNA from 1 species
GAUGAAGAACGUAGCGAAAUGCGAUAAGUAAUGUGAAUUGCAGAAUUCAGUGAAUCAUCGAAUCUUCGAACGCACAUUGCGCCCGCCAGUAUUCUGGCGGGCAUGCCUGUUCGAGCAUCAUUUCAACCAUCAAGCCCUGCUUGCGUUGGGGUCCUGCGGCUGCCCGCAGGCCCUGAAAACCAGUGGCGGGCUCGCUAGUCACACCGAGCGCAGUAAUACAUCUCGCUUUGGGCGUGCGGCGGGUUCUUGCCGUUAAACACCCCCUUUUUACCAAGGUUGACCUCGGAUCAGGUAGGAAUACCCGCUGAACUUAAGCAUAUCAAUAAGCGGAGGA